AACGAACGCUGGCGGCAUGCCUAACACAUGCAAGUCGAACGAGACCUUCGGGUCUAGUGGCGCACGGGUGCGUAACGUGUGGGAACCUGCCCUUAGGUUCGGAAUAACUCCCCGAAAGGGGUGCUAAUACCGGAUAAUGUCUUCGGACCAAAGAUUUAUCGCCUUUGGAUGGGCCCGCGUUGGAUUAGCUAGUUGGUAGGGUAAAAGCCUACCAAGGCGACGAUCCAUAGCUGGUCUGAGAGGAUGAUCAGCCACACUGGGACUGAGACACGGCCCAGAUUCUUACGGGAGGCAGAAGUGGGGAAAAUGGGAAAAUGGGCGAAAGCCUGAUCCAGCAAUGCGGGGUGAGUAAGGAAGGCCUAAGGGUUGUAAAGCUCUUUACCCGGGAUGAUAAUGACAGUACCGGGAGAAUAAGCUCCGGCUAACUCCGUG
rnacentral:rRNA from 1 species